AUCAAAUUAGCAAAAGCAAUGCAAUUGACUUAGAAUCAAUAGGUAUGGUGAAAAUCCUUAUUUGAUA
rnacentral:tRNA from 1 species